rnacentral:lncRNA from 1 species
GUAUACAAUUCUUGUAAUGUAGGAAGACCCAUCAACGCCAGUUGGCUGCACUUCAGCAGUUAUUCUACUAGAUGUACAUGUACAUGCAUGUAUUUACUUAGUUUUUUUUUACUUUUUACUGUCUAGCACUGAUUUCGACAAGUUAGUGAAGAAGUUGCAAGCUCAAGUGAAGGAUCUUAAUCGAAGGAUUGAUGAAGAAACAUGCCAUAAAGAUGAACAGCAUCAACUGGCAGCUAAAGCAGAGAAAUCUGCCAACGCCCUCACUGUUGAGUUGAAGAUCUACGUAGCAGCACUGAACAAUUGCAACGUCAGUUCAAAUUGGCAGAUGCUGAGAGGGUGGAAUUACAGGAUUGUUUGAGUGAGUUCCAAUCAUCAAUGGAGGAGCACGAGGAACUGGAGACUGAGAGUCAUGAGAAUGCGAGAAACUCUGCAAGGCAAUGGAACAAGUUUCCCAUCUCGAUGACUACUAAACUUGAAGAGGAAAUGUCUAUGGCUGUUAAAGCAGCUAAGAGAGGGGCAGCAGAGGGUUACUGACUUAGAAAUGGAGUUGGAGACUGAAACCAAAAGCAGGAGUGACGCCCAGAAGAAUUUUAAG